GACGAACGCUGGCGGCGUGCUUAACACAUGCAAGUCGAACGGAAAGGCCCUGCUUUUGUGGGGUGCUCGAGUGGCGAACGGGUGGGUAACACGUGAGUAACCUGCCCUUGACUUUGGGAUAACUUCAGGAAACUGGGGCUAAUACCGGAUAGGAGCUCCUGCUGCAUGGUGGGGGUUGGAAAGUUUCGGCGGUUGGGGAUGGACUCGCGGCUUAUCAGCUUGUUGGUGGGGUAGGGGCUUACCAAGGCUGUGGCGGGUAUGCGGCCUGAGAGGGUGACCGGCCACAUUGGGACUGAGAGACGGCCCAGACUCCUACGGGAGGCAGCAGUGGGGAAUAUAGCACAAUGGGCGGAAGCCUGAUGCAGCAACGCCGCGUGCGGGAUGACGGACUUCGGGUUGUAAACCGCUUUCGCCUGUGACGAAGCGAGAGUGACGGUAAUGGGUAAAGAAGCACCGGCUAACUACGUG
rnacentral:rRNA from 1 species